AUUGAACGCUGGCGGCAGGCCUAACACAUGCAAGUCGAGCGGAGCGGCGGACGGGUGAGUAAUGCCUAGGAAUCUGCCUGGUAGUGGGGGAUAACGUCCGGAAACGGGCGCUAAUACCGCAUACUAUAAGAUGAGCCUAGGUCGGAUUAGCUAGUUGGUGGGGUAAAGGCCUACCAAGGCGAGGAUCCGUAACUGGUCUGAGAGGAUGAUCAGGCACAGUGGAACUGGGAGACGGCCCAUAGGCCUACGGGAGGCAGCAGUGGGAAAUAUUGCACAACGGGGAAACUGUGAUGCAGCAACGCCGCGUGCGGGAUGAUGGCUUUGGGGGUGGAAACCGCUGUCAGCUAUGACGCGGUAGUGGCAGAAGAAGCACCGGCUAACUACGUGCCAGCAGCCGCGGUAAUUC
rnacentral:rRNA from 1 species